rnacentral:SRP_RNA from 1 species
AGUUCUGUCUUUUAUGGCUCUCUUUUAAGUGAAAUGUGUCAGGUGGGGAACCAAGCAGCACUAAAUUUUUAAGGGGGUGCUUAGAAGGUGCGGGGUGGAC